rnacentral:rRNA from 1 species
CCUACGGGAGACAGCAGUGGGGGAUAUUGCACAAUGGGGGCAACCCUGAUGCAGCGACGCCGCGUGGGUGAAGAAGCGCCUCGGCGCGUAAAGCCCUGUCAGCAGGGAAGAAAAUGACGGUACCUGAAGAAGAAGCCCCGGCUAACUACGUGCCAGCAGCCGCGGUAAUACGUCGGGGGCCAGCGUUAUCCGGAUUUACUGGGUGUAAAGGGGGCGCAGACGGCGGUGCAAGCCAGGAGUGAAAGCCCGGGGCCCAACCCCGGGACUGCUCUUGGAACUGGGUGGCUAGAGUGCAGGAGGGGCAGGCGGAAUUCCUGGUGUAGCGGUGAAAUGCGUAGAUAUCAGGAGGAACACCGGUGGCGAAGGCGGCCUGCUGGACUGCAACUGACGUUGAGGCCCGAAAGCGUGGGGAGCAAACAGGAUUAGAUACCCGGGUAGUC